rnacentral:rRNA from 1 species
AAAUUGAAGAGUUUGAUCAUGGCUCAGAUUGAACGCUGGCGGCAGGCCUAACACAUGCAAGUCGAACGGUAGCACAGAGAGCUUGCUCUCGGGUGACGAGUGGCGGACGGGUGAGUAAUGUCUGGGAAACUGCCUGAUGGAGGGGGAUAACUACUGGAAACGGUAGCUAAUACCGCAUAACGUCGCAAGACCAAAGAGGGGGACCUUCGGGCCUCUUGCCAUCAGAUGUGCCCAGAUGGGAUUAGCUAGUAGGUGGGGUAACGGCUCACCUAGGCGACGAUCCCUAGCUGGUCUGAGAGGAUGACCAGCCACACUGGAACUGAGACACGGUCCAGACUCCUACGGGAGGCAGCAGUGGGGAAUAUUGCACAAUGGGCGCAAGCCUGAUGCAGCCAUGCCGCGUGUAUGAAGAAGGCCUUCGGGUUGUAAAGUACUUUCAGCGGGGAGGAAGGUGUUGUGGUUAAUAACCGCAGCAAUUGACGUUACCCGCAGAAGAAGCACCGGCUAACUCCGUGCCAGCAGCCGCGGUAAUACGGAGGGUGCAAGCGUUAAUCGGAAUUACUGGGCGUAAAGCGCACGCAGGCGGUCUGUCAAGUCGGAUGUGAAAUCCCCGGGCUCAACCUGGGAACUGCAUUCGAAACUGGCAGGCUAGAGUCUUGUAGAGGGGGUAGAAUUCCAGGUGUAGCGGUGAAAUGCGUAGAGAUCUGGAGGAAUACCGGUGGCGAAGGCGGCCCCCUGGACAAAGACUGACGCUCAGGUGCGAAAGCGUGGGGAGCAAACAGGAUUAGAUACCCUGGUAGUCCACGCCGUAAACGAUGUCGAUUUGGAGGUUGUGCCCUUGAGGCGUGGCUUCCGGAGCUAACGCGUUAAAUCGACCGCCUGGGGAGUACGGCCGCAAGGUUAAAACUCAAAUGAAUUGACGGGGGCCCGCACAAGCGGUGGAGCAUGUGGUUUAAUUCGAUGCAACGCGAAGAACCUUACCUGGUCUUGACAUCCACAGAACUUUCCAGAGAUGGAUUGGUGCCUUCGGGAACUGUGAGACAGGUGCUGCAUGGCUGUCGUCAGCUCGUGUUGUGAAAUGUUGGGUUAAGUCCCGCAACGAGCGCAACCCUUAUCCUUUGUUGCCAGCGGUUAGGCCGGGAACUCAAAGGAGACUGCCAGUGAUAAACUGGAGGAAGGUGGGGAUGACGUCAAGUCAUCAUGGCCCUUACGACCAGGGCUACACACGUGCUACAAUGGCGCAUACAAAGAGAAGCGACCUCGCGAGAGCAAGCGGACCUCAUAAAGUGCGUCGUAGUCCGGAUUGGAGUCUGCAACUCGACUCCAUGAAGUCGGAAUCGCUAGUAAUCGUAGAUCAGAAUGCUACGGUGAAUACGUUCCCGGGCCUUGUACACACCGCCCGUCACACCAUGGGAGUGGGUUGCAAAAGAAGUAGGUAGCUUAACCUUCGGGAGGGCGCUUACCACUUUGUGAUUCAUGACUGGGGUGAAGUCGUAACAAGGUAACCGUAGGGGAACCUGCGGUUGGAUCACCUCCUUA